CGUGCCUAACACAUGCAAGUCGAACGAGAAAGCUCCUUCGGGAGUUAGUAGAGUGGCGCACGGGUGAGUAACACGUGGAUAAUCUGCCUGAUAAUCUGGGAUAACAUUUCGAAAGGGAUGCUAAUACCGGAUAAGCCCACAGCCUCUUCGGAGGCAGCGGGAAAAGAUGGCCUCUUCUUGAAAGCUAUUGUUAUCAGAUGAGUCCGCGGUCCAUUAGCUAGUUGGUAGGGUAAUGGCCUACCAAGGCAACGAUGGAUAGCUGGUUUGAGAGAAUGAUCAGCCACACUGGAACUGAGACACGGUCCAGACUCCUACGGGAGGCAGCAGUGGGGAAUUUUGCGCAAUGGGGGAAACCCUGACGCAGCAACGCCGCGUGAGUGAUGAAGGUUUUCGGAUCGUAAAGCUCUGUCAAGAGGGAAGAAACCUCCAAUGGUUAAUAUCUGUUGGAAUUGACGGUACCUCUAGAGGAAGCACCGGCUAACUCCGUGCCAGCAGCCGCGGUAAUACGGAGGGUGCAAGCGUUGUUCGGAAUUAUUGGGCGUAAAGCGCGUGUAGGCGGUUUGUUAAGUCUGAUGUGAAAGCCCCGGGCUCAACCUGGGAAGUGCAUUGGAAACUGGCAAACUUGAGUACGGGAGAGGGAAGUGGAAUUUCGAGUGUAGGGGGUGAAAUCCGUAGAUAUUCGAAGGAACACCAGUGGCGAAGGCGGCUUCCUGGACCGAUACUGACGCUGAGACGCGAAAGCGUGGGGAGCAAACAGGAUUAGAUACCCUGGUAGUCCACGCCGUAAACGAUGGGUACUAGGUGUUGCGGGUAUUGACCCCUGCAGUGCCGAAGCUAACGCAUUAAGUACCCCGCCUGGGGAGUACGGCCGC
rnacentral:rRNA from 1 species